GCCAGCAGCCAUAUCACCCUGCAACUCACAACUGGCAACUGAAGCUAAGCAGGUGUGAGCCUGGUCAGUACCUGGAUGGGAGACCUCCUGGGAAAAACUAAGGUUGCUGCUGGAA
rnacentral:rRNA from 1 species